GGGGGAGAGGAGGAGAAAUGAUGGAAAAGAAUUUUAAAUUACACUUUGCACCAUUAAAAAGUAGCAACUGAUUAUUUCAAACUCCAACAGCUAAGUCAUUAAAAGCUAAACUUAAUUAUAUUUGCUGUUUUAAUCAACUGAAAUUAAUGCCACUUAGAGCUGUACUGAAUUCUUAGUUUUAUAAACAAAUUCAUAGUUUGCUUAGGUUAAAUUUAACUAAAGACUUCUGAAUUCUAGUAGGUAUUUUCCUUAGUGUUUGCAUUUUUUAAUUUAUGCACAGAACAUCCAGGUAGGUGAGAUUCUGGGGCACUGGAUUACAAGUGGUACAACAGUUCAUUAGGGAGACAAAUGAAAGGAGAGUCUUCUCCAUUAAAUCUUCUCCAGGAUUUGAGUCUGAACAUUUAUUCUUCUAAUAACAACAGCGGCAACUUUUCUCCUGUAUUUCUCAAGGAUGAAAAAUCUUUGUAAGCUGUGACAUGGGUGCUCUUCACAAGGCUUUGUGAAGACGCUAGGACCCAGCUAACACCUGCCAUCCCUCCCUUCCU